CUGCAGUAUCCUGACUGUGCAAAGGUAGCAUAAUAAUUUGUCUUUUAAUUGGAGGAUGGAAUGAAUGACUCGACGAAAAUAUAGCUGUCUUAUUUGUAUUUAUUAAAAGUUAAUUUUUAAGUUAAAAAGCUUAGAUAAAAUUAAGGGACGAGAAGACCCUGUUAAGCUUUAAAGAUUUUAUUGAUUACAGUUUAUAUAAAAAUACGGUAUCAAUAGAAAAAUUUUAGUUGGGGCGACUUGGGAGUAAGAUAAACCUCCUU
rnacentral:rRNA from 1 species